rnacentral:rRNA from 1 species
AGAGAGAGACAUGCGCGCAUAUCAAUAAGCGGAGGAAAAGAAACUAACAAGGAUUCCCUUAGUAACGGCGAGUGAAGCGGGAAGAGCUCAAAUUUGAAAUCUUCAAGGUUUUACCUUGACGAAUUGUAGUUUAAAGAAGUGUUUUCUGCUGAAGUUUUGGUAAAAGUUCUUUGGAAUAGGACAUCAUAGAGGGUGAGAAUCCCGUAUUUGACCAUUAUUUUCAGCUUUGUGAUACACUUUCAAAGAGUCGGAUUGUUUGGGAAUGCAGUCCAAAAUGGGUGGUAAAUUUCAUCUAAAGCUAAAUAUUGGCGAGAGACCGAUAGCGAACAAGUACCGUGAGGGAAAGAUGAAAAGAACUUUGAAAAGAGAGUUAAACAGUACGUGAAAUUGUCAAAAGGGAAGCGUUUGACACCAGUGUUGUUUUCUCGAAAAUCAAUUAAAAAUGGCUCGAUUUUGUAUUGCUGAGACCUUAAAAGCUCACUGUACAUUUUUCGUGUCUUUUUUAAUGCACUUUUCGUUUAACAAGUCAACAUCAGUUUCUUUUGUUGUAAAAGGGUCAUUGGAAGGUGGCUUUCUUUUCGGAGAAAGUGUUUAUAGCCUUUGGCCUCUGCAAUCGGAAGAGACUGAGGUCUGCAGCGUAGACUCUUCGGGGUUAGAUACAUUUGUGCUAAGUUAUAGCUUUUUAUAGACAACUUGUUGACUAUAAUUAGUCUUGUAGCUUACUCGCUUAUGCUAUUUUACCUACGCUUAGGAUGUUGAAGAUGUAGCACAUCAU